rnacentral:lncRNA from 1 species
GCUAUCCAGCUUAUGUGAAAAAUAUUGAUGGACAUAACCUGGAUGCUAGAUCAAAAAAAUAUAGGUUUGUAGGUUAUCCCAAGGAGAGUAUAGGAUACUACUUCUAUAACCCUACUCAAAAAAGAUGUUUGUUGGUAGGCAUGUCAUUUUCUUGGAGAAAGAGUUUAUCCAAGAAGGCGGCAAUGGGAGGUCUGUUGAACUUGAGGAAGUUCAAAACUUACAAUCCAUCUAGGAUUCACCAGAUGAUUCUCAACUAGAUGUGCCCAUUGUUGAGGCAUAGCCACUACACACACCUCCCCUCUGA